rnacentral:rRNA from 1 species
AUGCCCGUGGCUCAACCGCACGAGGGCACGCGGUGCACUGCUCGAGGGAUGCAGAUGCACUGCAAUGGCACGACCAGGACCUCGCAAAAUGAACCACAGGCCGAUUGCAAACAAACCACAUGCCUGAAGGGAGUCGUCCACGCUGGAGAUGUUGUGGUCGCGCCAGCGUUCGCGUCGACCCUGUCAGCAGGAGGCGUGGCUAGAACAAGAGGAGAGGGGAGGCUACCACAAUGGGAAAUUGUCGUUGCCAGGGGACAAACAUUGAAACUGCAUGAAAACAAACCGAUUUUUUAUACUGUGAGAUAA